GGAGGAGUCCCAUAGUGGCCUAGUGGGCACGACUGGAAAUCGUGUGUGUGAAUAGCACCGUGGGUUCGAAUCCCACCUCCUCCG
rnacentral:tRNA from 1 species